GUUUCCACCAGACCCACUGGCUUUACGAUCAACCAACACUAAGAUCCUUAAGACAACUGAGAGAAAUGACUACAAAGGACACUGACACAGCAUGGCUUGAUGAGCUGUGUGUAGGUCCACACCUGGCAUCCGAACUCGCAAACCCCAGGCCACCGAAGUGGAGCGGGCGAACCCAACCACUACACUACUGGGCCCACCCCAUCUUCCGAUGUUUUGACAUCUCUCAGGGGCCUUACAGAUCUGUGGAGAGACUGCACCUCCCUAGGCCAGCUAAUUCCUGGGGUGGUGGACAGCUUACCUGGAAUGUGCCUUUUACACACAGACCUGCCAAUCCCAGACCAUGCCCCCACCCACUUCCUCACCUAACUCUCACCAAGCCAGUAUUUCCCCUGCCCCAAAUCAUCCCAGGGCCAGGGACCAGACCACUGGGGAUAGUUGUCUAUCCCCCUAUAUCCCCAGAGCCUGCCAGAAUUAUUCAAC
rnacentral:lncRNA from 1 species